GUAGGGAAUCUUGCGCAAUGGGCGAAAGCCUGACGCAGCCAUGCCGCGUGAAUGAUGAAGGUCUUAGGAUUGUAAAAUUCUUUCACCGGGGACGAUAAUGACGGUACCCGGAGAAGAAGCCCCGGCUAACUUUGUGCCAGCAGCCGCGGUAAUACGAAGGGGGCUAGCGUUGCUCGGAAUUACUGGGCGUAAAGGGAGCGUAGGCGGAUAGUUUAGUCAGAGGUGAAAGCCCAGGGCUCAACCUUGGAAUUGCCUUUGAUACUGGCUAUCUUGAGUAUGGAAGAGGUAUGUGGAACUCCGAGUGUAGAGGUGAAAUUCGUAGAUAUUCGGAAGAACACCAGUGGCGAAGGCGACAUACUGGUCCAUUACUGACGCUGAGGCUCGAAAGCGUGGGGAGCAAACAGGAUUAGAAACCCUAGUAGUCC
rnacentral:rRNA from 1 species